rnacentral:lncRNA from 1 species
UAGCCCUGAGAGAGGGAGUGAAUGUUACACGCUGCUGAUAAUCUCCAGAAGUGAUCCAUUUCUGUAAUCGGAUCUCUUCUCCAGUCAGAGAGACCUAACACAUCAGUCUUCAUAUAUCAUCUUCAUGAGCUAAAUUGCCAGAGAAGUUUAUGAUCUAACUUCAGAAAAAUUCUCUGUGAAAACAAAUCAUUUAUUUUUCCAGAUGCCUGGACUGGAGUAUGCAACAUGCGACAUUCAAGAGCCCUGCAACCUCUAACCCAAAACAGUAUGACUAAGAUUUACACUACCAGCAGGCCUCUUUCUUCUGGGGGAGAGGAGCCAAGAGGGAAUUUCCUACCUCUUCCUCUCAAGCAGGAUUAUCUUGUACUGGAAUUCCAGAACAGUGUGAAACAGAAAGAAGCAAAAGAAAUACAAAACUAACAUGGGAAAUAUUGGGAGAAAAAGUGGAAAGAGAGAAAUCCUGCCAUUUCUGCUAAUCUACUUGAGCUUUCAAAUACUUUUUCUUUUUGAGCUCUCAAAUAUGAAAGUUCAAAAUUCAAUGCACUCACAAUAAAUUUGGAUACAUGGCUUGAUAAGGAGUAUGG